UUCUAUUAUUUUUAUAUUAUUAAUAGUAUAGUCUGCUCAAUGAAUAAUAAAUAGCCGCAAUAUUUUUGUGCUAAGGUAGCAUAAUCAUUUGUUUUUUAAUUAAAAACUAGAACAAACGACUAUACAAUUUAAUUAAUAUUAUUAAUUUAAAUAUUUAAAUUAUUUUAAAUGUAAAAAAACAUUUAUUAAAAAGAAAGACGACAAGACCCUAUUGAACUUAACUAUAGUUUUACUGGGGAAGUAAAUUAAUUAUUAUUUUUAUUAUUUAUAAUAAUAAAAAUAUAUCUAAUAUAAUUAAAAAUCAAGUUACCAUAGGGAUAACAGCAUAAUAAUUAAUUAAAGUUCUCAUUCAAAUAAUAGAUUAUGACCUCGAUGUUGAAUAAUAACCUAUAUUAAGCAAUCUUAAUAAAAGGAAGUCUGUUCGACUUUUAAAAAAUUACA
rnacentral:rRNA from 1 species